rnacentral:pre_miRNA from 1 species
GCUCCGUCAUCCCAGUGUUCAGACUACCUGUUCAGGGCCAUACUGGUGUACAGUAGUCUGCACAUUGGUUAGACUGUGCA